rnacentral:rRNA from 1 species
AUUGAACGCUGGCGGCAGGCCUAACACAUGCAAGUCGAACGAGUGGCGGACGGGUGAGUAAUGUCUGGGAAACUGCCCGAUGGAGGGGGAUAACUACUGGAAACGGGCGCUAAUACCGCAUACUAUCAGAUGAGCCUAGGUCGGAUUAGCUAGUUGGUGGGGUAAAGGCCUACCAAGGCGCCGAUCCGUAACUGGUCUGAGAGGAUGAUCAGUCACACUGGAACUGAGACACGGUCCAGACUCCUACGGGAGGCAGCAGUUGGGAAUAUUGCACAAUGGGCGCAAGCCUGAUGCAGCUAUGCCGCGGGUAUGAAGAAGGCCUUCGGGUUGUAAAGUACUUUCAGCGGGGAGGCGUUACCCGCAGAAGAAGCACCGGCUAACUCCGUGCCAGCAGCCGCGGUAAUAC